rnacentral:rRNA from 1 species
AUUGAACGCUGGCGGCAGGCCUAACACAUGCAAGUCGAGCGAGCGGCGGACGGGUGAGUAAUGUAUGGGGACUGCCCGAUAGAGGGGGAUAACUACUGGAAACGGUGGCUAAUACCGCAUACUAUAGGAUAACCCAUAUGGGAUUAGCUAGUAGGUGGGGUAAAGGCUCACCUAGGCGAUGAUAUCUAGCUGGUCUGAGAGGAUGAUCGUCCAAACUGGGACUGUGACACGGCCCAUACUCCUAGGGAGGCAGCAGUGGGGAAUAUUGCACAAUGGGCGCAAGCCUGAUACAGCCAUGCCGCUUAUAUGAGGAAGGCCUUAGGGUUGUAAAGUACUUUCAGCGGGGAGGCGUUACCCGCAGAAGAAGCACCGGCUAACUCCGUGCCAGCAGCCGCGGUAAUAC